AUGGAAGGCCCAGCUCAGCUACUCUGCCUGCUAGUGUUCUGGCUCCCAGUAACAAGUGGGGAUAUUGUGAUGACCCAGACUCCACUCAGCCUGUCCAUCACACUUGGACAGCCAGCAACCAUCACCUGUAAGUCAAGUCAGAGCCUUGUACAUAGUGAUGAAAAGACCUAUUUGUACUGGAUCCAGCAGAAACCAGGCCAAUCUCCACGUCCCCUGAUCUAUCUUGUUUCCAACCGGCACACUGGGGUCCCAGACAGGUUCAUUGGCAGUGGGGCAGUUACAGAUUUCACUCUCAAAAUCAGCAGAGUGGAGGCUGAGGAUAUUGCAGUUUAUUACUGUUUGCAAUAUAGACAAGAUCCUCACACAGUGAUAUAG